rnacentral:rRNA from 1 species
UACGUAAGUUGCUAGCGUUGUCCGGAUUUACUGGGCGUAAAGAACGCGUAGGCGGUUUGUUAAGUUGAAGGUGAAAUCGUUGGGCCCAACCCAGCAACUGCCUUCAAAACUGAUGAACUAGAGUGCAGGAGGGGAAGAUGGUAUUCCUGGUGUAGCGGUGAAAUGCGUAGAUAUCAGGGAGAACACCAAUGGCGAAAGCAGUCUUCUGGAAUGCAACUGACGCUGAGGCGUGAAAGCGUGGGGAGCGAAC